rnacentral:rRNA from 1 species
UACGAAGGGGGCUAGCGUUGUUCGGAAUUACUGGGCGUAAAGCGCACGUAGGCGGAUCUGUAAGUCAGGGGUGAAAUCCCGGGGCUCAACCUCGGAACUGCCUUUGAUACUGCGGAUCUCGAGUCCGGAAGAGGUGAGUGGAAUUCCUAGUGUAGAGGUGAAAUGCGUAGAUAUUAGGAAGAACACCAGUGGCGAAGGCGGCUCACUGGUCCGGCACUGACGCUGAGGUGCGAAAGCGUGGGGAGCAAACAGG